rnacentral:rRNA from 1 species
CCUACGGGUGGCAGCAGUGGGGAAUAUUGCACAAUGGGCGAAAGCCUGAUGCAGCAACGCCGCGUGAGCGAUGAAGGCCUUCGGGUCGUUAAGCUCUGUCCUCAAGGAAGUUAAUGACGGUACUUGAGGAGGUAGCUCCGUCUCACUACGUGCCAGCAGCCGCGGUACUACGUAGGGGGCUAGCGUUAUCCGGAAUUACUGGGCGUAAAGGGUGCGUAGGUGGUUUCUUAAGUCAGAGGUGAAAGGCUACGGCUCAACCGUAGUAAGCCUUUGAAACUGGGAGACUUGAGUGCAGGAGAGGAGAGUGGAAUUCGUGGUGUAGCGGUGAAAUGCGUAGAUAUUAGGAAGAACACCAGUUGCGAAGGCAGCUCUCCGGACUGUAACUGACGCUGAGGCACGAAAGCGUGGGGAGCAAACAGGAUUAGAUACCCCAGUAGUC